AAGAAUAACGACAGAGUUAUAAAUGAGUUGAUGUCAAGUACCUUCAGUUUGAGAAGACAGGAGAUUGUUGGUCAAGCCCCAGGUGUCACAGAUCUUCUAGAGAGAUGGCCCGCCCUCUUUAAACCUUCACAGAUCUGUGAAGAGUUCUUGAGAAUCAAUGGCAUAUCACUUGAGUCAACAUUUAUGUCACAGCUGGACAGACAUACCCCAAGGAUGUUGUCACUUUUCAAUGAAAAGGGAGGAGCAGUUGGUCAAAGAAUCAAGGUCGAAAUGAUGAAACUCAUCCAGGAUCCAUCUGCCUCUGUAGACAAAAGGAGAGAAGUGGUUCUGAGAUGCC
rnacentral:lncRNA from 1 species